AACGAACGCUGGCGGCAUGCCUAACACAUGCAAGUCGAACGAUACCUUCGGGUCUUUUGGCGCACUGGUGCGUAACGCGUGGGAACCUUCCUUUAGGUUCGGACUAACUCAGAGAAAUUUGAGCUAAUACCGGAUGAUUUCUUCGGACCCAAGAUUUAUCGCCUUUAGAUGGGCCCGCGUUGGAUUAGCUAGUUGGUGGGGUAAAGGCCUACCAAGGCGACGAUCCAUAGCUGGUCUGAGAGGAUGAUCAGCCACACUGGGACUGAGACACGGCCCAGACUCCUACGGGAGGCAGCAGUGGGGAAUAUUGGACAAUGGGCGAAAGCCUGAUCCAGCAAUGCCACGUGAGUGAUGAAGGCCUUAGGGUUGUAAGCUCUUUUACCCGAGAUGAUAAUGACAGUAUCGGGAGAAUAAGCUCCGGCUAACUCCGUG
rnacentral:rRNA from 1 species